rnacentral:rRNA from 1 species
UACCUGCGGAGGGAUCAUUACUGAGUUACCGCUCUAUAACCCUUUGUGAACAUACCUAACCGUUGCUUCGGCGGGCAGGGGAAGCCUCUCGCGGGCCUCCCCUCCCGGCGCCGGCCCCACCACGGGGACGGGGCGCCCGCCGGAGGAAACCAAACUCUAUUUACACGACGUCUCUUCUGAGUGGCACAAGCAAAUAAUUAAAACUUUUAACAACGGAUCUCUUGGUUCUGGCAUCGAUGAAGAACGCAGCGAAAUGCGAUAAGUAAUGUGAAUUGCAGAAUUCAGUGAAUCAUCGAAUCUUUGAACGCACAUUGCGCUCGCCAGCAUUCUGGCGAGCAUGCCUGUUCGAGCGUCAUUUCAACCCUCAAGCACCGCUUGGUUUUGGGGCCCCACGGCACACGUGGGCCCUUAAAGGUAGUGGCGGACCCUCCCGGAGCCUCCUUUGCGUAGUAACUAACGUCUCGCACUGGGAUUCGGAGGGACUCUUGCCGUAAAACCCCCCAAUUUUUUACAGGUUGACCUCGGAUCAGGUAGGAAUAC